rnacentral:rRNA from 1 species
UACGUAGGGACCAAGCGUUGUUCGGAUUUACUGGGCGUAAAGGGCGCGUAGGCGGCGCGGUAAGUCACUUGUGAAAUCUCUGAGCUUAACUCAGAACGGCCAAGUGAUACUGCAGUGCUAGAGUGUGGAAGGGGCAAUCGGAAUUCUUGGUGUAGCGGUGAAAUGCGUAGAUAUCAAGAGGAACACCUGAGGUGAAGACGGGUUGCUGGGCCAACACUGACGCUGAUGCGCGGAAGCCAGGGAGCAAACGGG